ACUUCACAGACUGCACUGUGCUCCCGUGCCUCUCCGCAGUGCACUGCACGCGCUGUGCAGCUGCGCGUCCAAGGCACUUGGCUCUCCGCCCAAUCUCCCUCCCUCUCCGGCGGCCGGCGGGGAAGAAGCAAGGCCGGAGGUAACAAUGGGAUCGUCCGGCAACGAUGUCAAGUUUACCCGGACCCAGAAGUUUGUGAAGAUGACUGCUUCUAAGUACUGUAUCUGGUAAGAAGGACGCCACGCCCACCUUCCCCUCGCGUCCUCCUCCCUCGGCGCCGCUCCCUCCACCGCCGUCACCCGAGGGGGUCGCCUGUGCGACUGCCGAUAUGGUGGCGGCCGCCCCAGAUCCAAGGGGCCCCAUCCUAGCUAUGUAUUCCCUAGUCCCAACAGAGGCGCCAUUAGAGCACUCUGAACAUGUUCCAUGUCUAUGUCUCAGUGAGGAAGAAGAAAGCCGAAACAUUUAAUCCUGCAACCAACAGGGACUUGGGCUUUUCUCUUUUGCGUCAAAAACGUGUGUGCAUGCUUUACUGGUA